rnacentral:rRNA from 1 species
UACAGAGGGGGCAAGCGUUGUUCGGAAUUACUGGGCGUAAAGGGCGCGUAGGCGGCCUGCUAAGUCGAACGUGAAAUCCCCGAGCUCAACUCGGGAACUGCGUCCGAUACUGGCAGGCUUGAAUCCGGGAGAGGGAUGCGGAAUUCCAGGUGUAGCGGUGAAAUGCGUAGAUAUCUGGAGGAACACCGGUGGCGAAGGCGGAUCUCUGGGCCUUACCUGACGCUGAGGCGCGAAAGCUAGGGGAGCAAACAGG